GCCGGGUAUGGUGGCUCACACCUGUAAUCCCAGCAAUUUGGGAGGCUGAGGCGGGCUGAUCGCCUGAGGUCAGGAGUUUGCAACCAGCCUGACCAACAUGGCGAAACCCCGUCUCUAUUCAAAUUACAAAAAUCAGUUGGCAGUAGUGGCGCGCACCUGUAAUCCCAGCAAUUUGGGAGGCUGAGGCGGGCUGAUCGCCUGAGGUCAGGAGUUUGCAACCAGCCUGACCAACAUGGCGAAACCCCGUCUCUA
rnacentral:SRP_RNA from 1 species